AGAGACUGAAAAUGCAAUUAAAGGCACCAUUGCAGAGGCCCUUUAGUAAAUUUUAAAAAAAAACAAUAAAAAAAAUAUCCUAUCUCUGGCAAAGCUAAAGAUGACUAAUUUUCCCUUAAAAUUUGAGCAUUACACGUCUGGGCAUUUGAGAAAAUAGAAACCUUAAAGUAGAGGCAUGUUAACGUGGAAAGCCACACAGGUAACAUUACACACAGCUGCCUUUAGGAAUUCUCACCACAAAAAUAAUGUCAUUUUGGUGCAACCUGAUGAAAACUAACAAAAAUUAUCUUUGCAGGUUAUUUGAUCAUGAUAUGAUACAGUCUGAGGCCAUGCGGACAUAAACCAGUCAACGAUAUUAGCAUAAUAAGUACACGUCCAAGUUGUCUGCGAAAAAGGGAGGUGUUAGAAUCUCAUGAAUAUAGAGGAGAAUGGAAAUUUUAGGAAACCUUAACCAAUCUGAACCUGAAUUUGAUAAUCAACGUGGUAUGUGAAAUUGAAUUCCCUCGCUGCAAAUCAUAUGUAAUUGCGGUCUUCAAUUCUUGUGAAUGUUUGAAAAUGCUCUCCAAUUAUUGACCCAGCAAUACUUUCGAGAGGAUUGAAAUUCUGUAGUGUCAUUUUAGCUAUGAGAAAAAAGUAAAUUAAAACAACUAUAUUCAAAAUUAGUCUAACAUAAACAACAAAAGUGUAACAGAUAAGGGUAGAAAAGGUUACAAAUUCUUUCAUGUUAACAAUAUAUCAUGACAGAAGUGCUGCUUGUUUCAAAAAGAAAACUUGUCAACUUGAACAACAUAAGAACCAUUGCAACUUUUCUAUUGCUCUCACUUUAUAGACUAGGGUAUUGUUCAUCAAACUUGCAUUAGUUUAUGUGAUAUAGAACAUUUGAAUGAGCAGUAAAUAUCACUUUCUUAGAACAUUUAUUGGUACUCAAUAUUCAACCUCAUACGAACAGCUGACUACAUGCCACAACCAAGAAAUAUAAAGGGGAAAAAAUAAAUUGCAGGAUCGAGGUAAGAAAAGUCCAGUCAUCGCUUUGAUAUCAAGGGAUUCAAACUAAAAUUAUUACUGUAGACCUAAUUUGAGAAUGGGAAGUGAAUAGCCAAGAAUGUUCAACUCUGCAAUCAGAAAACCCACAAGGUUCAGUUUUGUCAGUGUUGUCUUCUUACUAUAAGCCUCGUGGUGAGUUGAUCAGCAAAAAUGCGUAUAUAGAAGACACAUAAGUUAUGCAUUCUUGUACCUUCACAACUAAUUAAAAUAUACAUUUAACUACAGUCUAAAAUGCAUUAUAUUUGUUUCAAAACCCCAUAUUUCAAUUUUAAACCAUAACUUGAUUUGCCUCUAAUUUACUAGAGUAACUAAGAUGUAUUUGAGCAUAAACCUUUCAACGCUGUGACUACAUUCUUAGAAAAGGGAAAAAAGUCCAAUUUCAUAUUUGAAGGAUUUCCUUUGCUUUUGAGCCAAAAUAACAAGAAUUUACUCCAAGUAUGUUUCAGAUAAAGGAGAAGGCAACAACGUUAGAAGCUAUAAUUUCUAUUAACAGUUGCAGUUUAGCAGGUAAAAAUUGCUUGUAGCCAAGGAGCUAUAGCAACAAAACUAUUUAUAGUUGAUACAAACAAGAAAUUAAAUUGCGAAGUUGUGGAUAGUAUAUGAUAGUUCUGACUUCAGACGGAUGGUAUGGAAAAAUCUUCAGUUCACGCUCACUUUUAAUGCCUAGUAUGCGUUGUGACAUAGAAAAAAAAAUUAAACUAAUCCCUUCAUGGCAAAAUAUGUGGAAAUUCAGCAAUAUGAAAUUAAACUUCCUAUGCUAGUUGUUUGCCAUAUAUAUGCAAUUUUAGUUUAGGAUAUAAAAUAAGUUUCAAGUAAAACAAGCCACGGAUGAAUCCUUCUAGGGCUAUGAGCGGCCAGGCCCAAACUGUUCACAUGAGCUGUUAGCCAACCAGAGGCAGAUAUUAUAACAUAUAAGCAAUCAUAUUGGGAUUUCAUCAUAGUAAUUAAAGAAAGCCACUAUUUUAAUUAUUUGAUAACAUUCCUUUGAACUUUGUCAAUUUAGCAUCAACCCACUUUAGCUAGUAAUAUCAUAAUAUGGGAAUGUGAAUCAAUGCAAGUCCAGUUCUUAAAUUAGUAUAGAACAUAUAUACCAACAAAUAGAAACCACCAAAUUCAAAAGACUAUAUAACUUUGGCUGUGUGCAAUUGAGAAUUGGACACCUCAAUCAUUGUAACAGCUAGGUAUGUCAUCAAAAAACACAUUUUUACAUACUUGAAAAUAAAGGUAGAAGGUGGGUUUUGAUCACCUGGGAAAGCCACCGGAAUCUAGGAGAGGGCGUCAGCGAGGUACAUGGGUAUUUGAAAAUUUAAAGGUAUUGUGGAUUGAUAGUUGCCGUAGAGGAUUUUAUGGAUGAAUCUUUUACUUGGAUGAUAUGUUUGAUGGAGAAUUAGGGUUUCCUUCGGACUGGGAUUCUUCCCAUGGAGUCCGUGG
rnacentral:lncRNA from 1 species